GCCUGGCUGGCUAAGUCAGUAGAGCACAUGACUCUUGAUCUUGGGGUUGUGGGUUCAAGCCCACAUUGGACA
rnacentral:tRNA from 1 species